rnacentral:rRNA from 1 species
UACGUAGGGCGCAAGCGUUAUCCGGAAUUAUUGGGCGUAAAGAGCUCGUAGGCGGUUUGUCGCGUCUGCCGUGAAAGUCCGGGGCUCAACUCCGGAUCUGCGGUGGGUACGGGCAGACUAGAGUGAUGUAGGGGAGACUGGAAUUCCUGGUGUAGCGGUGAAAUGCGCAGAUAUCAGGAGGAACACCGGUGGCGAAGGCGGGUCUCUGGGCAGAUACUGACGCUGAGGAGCGAAAGCGUGGGGAGCGAACAGG